rnacentral:rRNA from 1 species
UACGUAGGGUGCGAGCGUUAAUCGGAAUUACUGGGCGUAAAGCGUGCGCAGGCGGUUGGCCGUGUCCGAUGUGAAAGCCCCGGGCUUAACCUGGGAAUGGCAUUGGAAACUGGCUGGCUGGAGUGUGGCAGAGGGGGGUGGAAUUCCACGUGUAGCAGUGAAAUGCGUAGAUAUCGGGAGGAACAUCAGUGGCGAAGGCGGCCUUCUGGUCCAGUACUGACACUCAAGUGCGAAAGCGUGGGGAGCAAACAGG